rnacentral:lncRNA from 1 species
GACUCCAGGACUGGACCAGUCCAGGACUUUCAUCUGUACCCAUGUCCUCAGGGAUUUUAUUGCCCCCAGGGCACAACCUGGGACAGACAGAACAGCUGCCCAGUGGGAACAUAUGGACCCCAGCAGGGACUGAAGGGCAUCACUGAGUGUCAAUUGUGCCCAGCUGGGAAAUACUGUGCCCUGGCUGGGCUGUCAACUCCAACAGGCAACUGUGCUGAAGGUCACUGGUGCAAGGAAGGCUCCUCUAUGAAGAAUCCUACAGAUGGGGUGCUGGGCCUUCUCUGUCCCCCAGGGCACUAUUGUCUCACAGGAACCCCCAGGCCAACUCCAUGCCCACCAGGUACAUGGUCCAAGGAAGGGAACAAGAACAUAGAUGGGUGCCAAGCCUGCACUGGGAGCCAUUUUUGUAACAACAGCAGCCCACCAGCUCUCACCAGACCCAAUACCUUUAAGUUUCAUUGCACUGAGGAGGCUACCCUGGCUUCCCCCACAGAUGAGGAGCCUUGCUACAUUGGAUACUUCUGUCCCCAGGGAAUGAAGCACCCCACCUCUUGCCCCCUUGGCUCCUACCUGCCCUUUAAAAAUCCAGCAGAAUGUCACAUGUGUCCCAGUGGUCAAUACUGUGUCCCAGGGCAGAAGCCACAGCUCUGCCCACAAGGUUUCUACUGCCCUGAAGGGACAGGAGUAGACUGGCAGCCAUGCCCUGCUGGCACGUAUGGUCCCAUGCCUGGUUUAAGCAGUCUGAAGGAGUGCCAAGCCUGCGACAAGGGCAGGUAUUGCCUGAAGGCCAAUGCCACAGAUGUGAGCGGAGAGUGCUGGGCAGGUUACUUCUGCCCAGGAGGAUCAAGGUGGCCAAACCCAGAACCUGGGACGGAAGGUGAGGCUGGUCCUUGUCCUCAAGGACACUACUGUCCCAGAGGCUCUGCUGCACCCCAACCUUGUCCUCUGGGCACCUUCAGCCAGCAAAUCAAGCUAAGCUCUGAGGUAGGAAGACUACUGGGAAGGAAAAGGAAGGGGGACCCUGUGGGUCAAGAGGGCU